GAUGAACGCUAGCGGCGGGCUUAAUACAUGCAAGUCGAGGGGCAGCACGAUGUAGCAAUACAUUGGUGGCGACCGGCGGACGGGUACGUAACACGUAUGCAACUUGCCCUAUACUGGGGGAUAGCCCGAAGAAAUUCGGAUUAAUACCCCAUAACAUCAGGAUCAGCAUUGAACUUGGUUCAAAGUUCCGACGGUAUAGGAUGGGCAUGCGGUCGAUUAGCUUGUUGGUGAGGUAACGGCUCACCAAGGCGACGAUCGAUAGGGGGCCUGAGAGGGUGAUCCCCCACACUGGUACUGAGACACGGACCAGACUCCUACGGGAGGCAGCAGUAAGGAAUAUUGGUCAAUGGGCGCAAGCCUGAACCAGCCACGCCGCGUGAAGGAAGACGGCCCUAUGGGUUGUAAACUUCUUUUCUACGGGAAUAAACCUCGGGACGUGUCCCGAGCUGAAGGUAUCGUAGGAAUAAGGAUCGGCUAACUCCGUGCCAGCCGCCGCGGUAACAC
rnacentral:rRNA from 1 species